AGAGAGAGAGAGAGAGACGCAAGAAACUGUACCCAAAAGAUAAAAGAAAAUAAAGAAAACGAAGAAAAAGAAGAGCUUACUGUCACCAUCUGAAGACUCCUCCUCCUCCUCCUCCUCUUCACUCUUUGUCCCCCUCCAUCUGCUUCUCUUCUUCCUUCAUCUCCUUCUUCCUCCCAUAUCAAAUUAUCACUGUUUUUCCUUUCCCUCUGUUCUUCUUCUUGUCCCUUCACUUAUAUCUGAUUAUCGAUAUUUUUCCUCUUUCUCCUCUUCCUAUUUAUUCUCCUCUCCUUCUAUUAUCCCUUCUCCUCUUCCUCCUACACGCUUUAUUCUACUCCUUCCCCUAUUAUCAGAUUAUUAGUUGUUCCCUUCUUCCUGCUCUUCCUCCUCCUCCUACUUUUCGUACUCCUUCCCCUCAUCUCAUAAUAUUACUACUGUUUGUCCCUCUCCUUCUGCUCUUCUUCCCUCUCUUCUUAAUUAACUGAUUAUAUUUUACACUCAUAUCAUCACUACUAAUUGUUCCACCACCGCUGUCUGCUCCUUCCUCCUCCUCCUCCUCGUCUUCAGCCUUCUAGCAGGGACAGCCACGUGACAUCACCCUUCCCCUCCGUCACAUACGCUGAACACACGAACCAGAUAAUAAGACUCCAUGCGGGUAAACAAUUCGGCCCCCAAGCACACAUCAGACAAGGCUUUCGUAGGAGUUCUGGGCAUUUUCAGGGGUACUUUUAUGGCCAUGGUGGUAGUUUGACCCUUCUUCUAUACCAUGAACCUAAAUCACACUCUCAUUAUAACCCGAUUGAUCAUCUUUUUGGCCUUUGGAAGUAGCUGACGUGGGAGGCGGAAGCGUCUGAGAAUACCGGUCUAAGAGUCUUCGAGGGUAAGCAUCCCCCAUCGACAAAGGCGCUGCGCAGUCGUCGUUUCCCGGGUCUGCGCAGCGGGCCGAGUUUGCAUAACGCGCAGGGGGCUCUGACGCACAACGAGACCCAGAUGCUGCUGGUGAUAAUAACGCGCUACCUGGUAAUUGUCCGCCGCGCUCACCUUGCGACAUGUAAACCUAGGCCCCGUGAAGAAGGAGGAGGAGCAGAAGAUAGAUGAUGAUGAUGUGUAUGAAGAAAGGAAGAGCAAACGCAAUAAAAGAGUUAGUGCGAAUGUUGAAAGAGACAAGAAAACUACAAUAUUAUGACGUACAGUGGAUAAAAAUAGGAAGAUGAGGAGGUUUAGUGUUGUUUGUAAACGUGGGAAAAGAAGAAAUAACGAAAAAAUGCGUCAGUGCGAAAGAGGAGAAACAAAAGGCUGCAGUAUGACAGAAUGGACAAAGGAAGGGAAAAAAAGGAAAAGGAGGAAGAAUGGGAGAGGGAUGUCAGCGGAAAGGAGACAAGAAAGGCGACUAUUACAGUAAUAUAAAGUGGAAUGAAGAAAUAAAAGGUGACAGCGGUGGACGGAGAAGAAGAGGAAGAAGAAAAAGAAGAAGAGGAACUAGAACAAAACGAAGAAGAAGAGGAAGAAGAAGAAGAGGAACUAGAACAAAACGAAGAAGAAGAGGAAGAAGAAGAGGAACUAGAACAAAACGAAGAAGAAGAGGAAGAAGAAGAAGAGGAACUAGAACAAGACGAAGAAGAAGAGGAACUAGAACAAGACGAAGAAGAGGAAGAAGAAAAAGAAGAAGAGGAACGAAGAAAACGAAGAAGAACAAGAACUAGAACAAGACGAAGAACAAGAAGAACUAGAACAAGACGAAGAAGAAGAGCAAAAAGAAGGAGAACAACUGGAAUAAGACGAAGACAAAGAAGAAGAACUGGGAUAUGACGAAGAAGAAGAAGAACUAUAAGAAGACGAAGAAGAAAAUGAAGAGCUACACCACCAUCACCACCACCAACACCACCACCAACAGCAAGAGCAAGAAGAAGAAGAAGAAGAAGAAGAGUAGGAGGAGGAGGAACACGUUGGAAGGCUGAAGUAAGUGUUGAAGGGGCACCAUUGCCGACAGACAGUUGCCUCACACUCCGCGUCGCUCUCUGUGUCUCCGCGUCUCGUUAUUCCGGUCCACAAUAAGCCAGAUCAAGGAUAACCCCCAAGGACUCCUGCCGCUGCCUAGACAACUUCAUGGACGAGGUCGAGAAGGAGGAGGAGGAGGAGGGGGAAGAAUGAGAAGCCGGUGUUUGUUGUGAGGUAGAGAAUAAACCAGAGUAGAGGAAAGAGGAGGAAAAGAUACAGUGGAAGAUGAACUAGAGGGAGGAUUUAGGGAAAGAGAAAAUGAAAAUAAAUGUAAAACCGGAGGAGGAUGAGGAAGGGGAUGAAAUAUGUAUUGUAAGGGAAGAGAGCGAGCACACGUAGAGCUGAGUGAGGAAGGAUUAGAGGUAGAGAAAUAGGAGUGGAGAAGGAAAGGGGGGAGAUAACAGCCUAUGAAGAAAAUGAAGGAAAAAACAGAAGGAAAAUGACAACGAGAACAAGACGGCAAUGAGAGUUGGAAAGAGGGAAGAAGGAAGGAAAGAAGUGAAGUGAAAGAAGGGAAGAAGGAAGGGAUAGAACAGAAGUAAGAUAAAGAAGGACAAACUGGCGAGGGGGAAAAAGGACGAAAGGAAGAAGAGAGAAAAGGAAAGGAAGAAGGAAGAUGGUGCUAUACAGGAAAGGAGAACAGAGGAAAAGGAAAUAAGUACAUGACGACGAAGCGAAGCGAGGGAAGGAAGGAAGGAAGGAAAAAAAGGAAGAGAAAAAGGAAAGCAAGGAAGGGAAUGAAGGGAACAGCAAGAUGGUAAGUAUACACUGUUAGUAAUCUUGUAUACUUUCGCCGGGUGGAAUUUCAAGCCGCCUCAGCUGUUGUCGCCGGCGGAGGCAAGAAGCAAGCUGCAUCCCUCGCGCCAGGACUCGUGAAGUUGGCGCAGCGGUAACCCGGCACUAAAAAUCGUAACCCUUUAUGGUGACUCAGGGGGGAAGGGGGGGAGGAAAGAGGAGUGGGAAGGGGAGGUAUGAAAGAGGAAAGAAGAGUGAGAAAGUAAGGAUUGGAGGAAAGAGGAGGUAAAGGAGUAGGAUGAGGAACGUAAGGAAAGCAGGAAGGCAAGAGGAAAAGGAAGGGGAGGUAAGGAGGAUAGGGAAUAGAGGAGUGGGAAAGGAGAGGUAGAGAAGGCAUGGAGGAAAAGAAGUGGAGAGAGGGGGUUAAGGAAGGCAGAGAGGAAAGAGGAGGAUAAAGAAGGGAGAUAAGACGUAGGAAAGGAAAGGAGAGAAAUAGUGAAGCGACGGGAACUACAUGAAGGGAAAUGAGGGGAAAGGAAAUGAAGGGAUAAAGAGAAGGGAGAGGAAGCAAUAUACGGGAAGAUAAAAGAAGGAAGAGAAGAAUAAAGAAGGGAUGUGGAGAAGAGCGAAAUAUACCGAAAAGAAAACGAAUGAAAACAGAAGAAAGAAGGGGAAAAAUAAGAAGGGGAGGAGAUUUUUAAGGGAAUAGAAGAAGAGGGGAGCAGAGAACCAGACGCCGCCCCUCAAGCCUUCAAUGUUUGGUCCCUUCGGCCCCUCAAGUUACCAACCCACAGACACGCUUUGGUUUGUAUUCGGUAUCGCUGUGUGGCUUUCUGAUUAUUAUUCUUGAGGUUCGUUUUUGUUUCCGACGUUCGUUUCUCCUCGCAUGACAAUAUCCUUCUGAUUAUUGUUCUUGAGGUUCGUUUUGGUUUCCGACGUUCGUUUCUCCUCGCAUGACAAUAUCCUUCUGAUUAUUGUUCUUGAGGUUCGUUUUGGUUUCCGACGUUCGUUUCUCCUCGCAUAACAAUAUCCUUCUGAUUAUUGUUCUUGAGGUUCGUUUUUGUUUCUGACAUUCGCUUCUCCUUGCAUGACAAUAUCCUUCUGAUUAUUGUUCUUGAAGUUCGUUUUUGUUUCCGACGUUCGUUUCUCCUCGCAUGACAAUAUCCUUCUGAUUAUUGUUCUUGAGGUUCGUUUUGGUUUCUGACGUUCGUUUCUCCUCGCAUGGCAAUAUCCUUCAAGCGCUCUCGUCCUAAUAACCAACGAAUUAACACCUUAGUCUUUUCCCUUUGUAAUUCUUCGGAGUCUGAUUUUCUGUUUGUUUUUUGGAAGCUAAUGUCAUAAGAAGGUUUGUUUUAGCGGGCCAAAUUCCUUCCUCCCCCUUCUUUUCUAUUUUCAAGAGAAGAAUGCAAGCAAGAGGUUCGUCCUAAUAACCCAAACUUCCUCCUCUACCUCUUCCUCUUCCUCUUCGGUGCCGCAACCCUCAACCCUUCCCGUCCCUUCCUCGCGGCGCCCAAGGUGAUCUAACACAACUAGGCCUUCUUACGGAGCCUCCUUACAUGCGUCGAGUUGAGAAACGAAUCACCCGUGAAGACAUAAAGGUAGUGUGUGUGUGUGUGUGUGUGUGUGUGUGUGUGUGCGCGAGUAGUGGCAAUACAGAGACAGUACACACAUGAAUACACACCAACGGGGGGUAGGGUGGAGGAGGGUGGUGAUGGGGGGGUGAAGAGAUAAUGGUGAUGGUCGGAGGGGUGGAGGGAGGGAGAUGAUGGGGGUGGUGAUAGGGAGGGAGGGACCGGCAACAAGGCAAGGGAAGCAGCGUUUCAACACCCACUUUUGUGCUCCCUUCAUUAACAUGGCAACAAAAGGGCUUGACGGAGGAGUGCCAUUGUGCGCGCCGAGCCUGAUAACAUUAUAUGCUAAGCCGCGGCGCGUCGGGGGUCGCCGCGCCGCGCCCGAGGAAAAACAAGAACACCGUCACUCUGUCCUGUCACCGCGCGCAGACGACAAUCACGGCGGCGGGUGAGUGACGCAGGUAAGGUAAGGUGUGUGUGUAUGUGUAUGUGUGUGUGUGUGUGUGUGUGUGUGUGUGUACUGAUAACAUUAAACCAGGUAAUACUAGUUGUCUGUCCCUCUCUGUCUGGUAGCACUCUCUCUCUCUCUCUCUCUCUCUCUCUCUGCCUGCCUACAUACAUGCUGUACGGCCAAUUAACCGUAAUUGGACCAUGAAGACCUCUCAACUUAAGUGUCUGAUCAUUAUGGAGUGAAUGGCGGAAGCGAAAAAUAAAGAGAAUCGCCUCAUCGCUGCCAACACUCACAUUAUUAUUGACGGACCGACAACAAAGCGACACAGACGAGAGAGAGAGAGAGAGAAUCGCCUACAUCACACACACACACACACACACACACACGCAGGGUAUCGUCAAAGGGCAUCUGUCAUCUCGUUUUGAAAGUCACACACACACACACACACACACACACACACACACACACACACACACAGACUUGCUUGCGUCACAUCGAUCGUAGCAAGACCUAACUAAAAAGAAAAGGGAAAAAAUAACUAAACUAAAUUAAUAAAACGAGGAAAUAAUAAUAAAAAAAAAACACUGAAUAAAAAACAAGCAAACAAAAACCUUCCAGUACCAAAAGAAAACAAAACCACUAGAAAAAACAAAUCAUACUCAAGAAAUAUUAAAAUGUCAUUACGAAAGAAAUAAAGAAGAAUAAAAAUAACAACAUCAUCCUCUGAACCCCAAUUAUAUACACUAAGGGAUUGAAGAAAAUAUGAAGCCUCAGGACGCCAAUUACUCCCGACUAACAACGCCCUUCUUGACGGGGUAAUGACGGGGCAAGGGGGGCAGGAGGGGGGCGGGGAGGGGCAGGGCAGGAGGUCUUUGUUAAGUCGUCUAAUGAACACAGCGAAGUACGUCGUCUCGCCAACACUAUUUGCCUUCCUCGACGCCCCCGCCACGCCCCGCCCUACCAGAGUACAAUUCCUGCCCCCCUCGACCCCCUACUUGAUUCCCGUUUCCCCCCCGGCCCGCCCCGCCCCGUCUGAGCUGUCCGUCACUAAUUCCUGCCCUUACGCCGUGAAGAACCGCUUGAUUCAGAUCCGUACUCCCAUACGCGUCAUGCCCGGCAAUAAACAUUUACGGAAGCAAUCUAACUAAUCCGCGUGUAGGUACGUGUUGUGCGCCGUGAAGGCUUGAGACUAUUACACACACACACACACACACACACACACAUACGCACAGCCGCCGAGCAAUUCCUCGCCGCGGUUUAAUUCAUGCUGGUAACGCUGCGCUGCCCCGCCCGCCGCCGCCAGGCAGCGUACUGUGUGCUACGCGGAACACUGAAACAAUUUACUCGUGAUUCAAUUAUUCCCAACGAGGAAGCGAGAACAGCUGGCCGCGCCGCACAGGAGCCGAGGGGUGGACUGCACAAAGGGGCCAAGGAGCCGCCGAGAGGGGCGUCCUGUAAGGCUGUAUGUGUUCCUGCAAGGCGAGGCGAGGCGAGGAAGGCUUCACAGAGCUGCCCGCCACGCCCUCGCCUGUGUCACGCUCGCGACGCCGCGACUCGGUGGCUUGCAAAAGUCAAGUUCCAGGUACAGAAUGGUUCACGUGUGUCUGUGGCUCCGUCCAUCGGGUGUGAUCUUUUUCCCUCCCCGUGGUGGAUGGAUGACUUCCGCUCCCUGGUUCCCUUCAGCGGCUCCACCCUGGUGUUGCGGGGGGCGGGGUUGUGGUGACGAGCUUGUGUGAUUAUGAUGGAUUACAUUUCAUCCACUAUUGUUAAGAAGCUCCCCCUUGGCGACCUUGUUAUUUGAGUGCAAUGCGUGUGAACGAAAAAAAAGAGCAUCGAGAGGAGAGUACGCCAAAAGCAGGUACUGGACAUGUUGUGUGACUAAAAAGAACAAGAAUUGAGGAAAAUAAACUGGUUGAUAGAAAUUGUGAAAGGGGACGAGGAAACCUUGACACGAUAUGCUUUUUUUUUUUUUUUUUUUUUUUUACAACAAAGGAGACGGCUCAAGGGCAACAAAAAGUGGAAAAAAUACAAAUAAAAGCCCGCUACUUGCCGCUCCCAUAACAGAUAAGAGUAAAGAAUCGCCAGAAGAGAGGUCAAUUUCGGGUGGAGAGGUGUCUUGAUACACUGGUUAUAGGGAGCGAAUAGAGUGGAGAAAAACGGUGAAAAAUAGUUUGAUUGACAUACAUAUAUUGAAAGCAGAUUAAGAAAGGUAGGAUACAGUAAGGAAAAGAAAGGUAAGUCAUGUGGAGUGAUCGGGUGGGAAAAGAUUAACGAAGAUUUUACUGAUAUAAGAAAAAUGGUAAAGAAAAGUAACUGAUUGAUUGAUUGAUACGAAUAUGAAAGGCUGACAGGGCAACACAAAAGACUCGAGACUAGGCAAAACAUAAACAAACAAGAAACCUAAACUGUGUGAGCCUCGAAAAAUGACUAGGAAAACGUGGAAACUGACGAGCGAGUGACUAGCGAGUGCGAAGGAUUAAAGCUGGGGAUGAAAAGUAUAUGUACACGUCUGCGAGUGCAUGACGAGGCUGGUAUUGCUUUAGAAGGCGUCGCGAGCUUAGCCGAACCCUGAAGGCAGCUUAGGAGGUUACUGAGGGUGCUGGUGACGAGGGGGGUUAUAAACGUCGAGCUAUGAGGUGAGUGCCAGGAAAUACUAACUGAAUGGCACGAUGUUUGGUUAUGCACUCUUUUGAUACUUCGCGACCUUUCUCAUCCACUAGUUUUAUCUUACGCUCUCGAGUCCUCUGUAUUUGUCGUUCAUUGUGUAGCGUGGUGAGUUAUUCAGACAAAACUUCCUUCAAUAUGAUCAUUAUAUACUCAUUUUUGCUUGGUAUUCACAGUUGGCUUUCUCCUCUUUUCCUUUUUUACUAAUACCAUAUUUUUCUUUUGUUAACUACUG